UCUGCACCAAAUGACUGAAGGCAAUUUGGUAACAUAAUCAGUUCUAUGACAAGGAGACAACAUAGACCAUGGUAUUUGGAUUGAAUAAAGACCUGCAUCAAACCUAAUUCCACUGCUCAGCGUUGGGUCAUCAGCUUUACAGGUCAUGGUUUUCAGCUACAUGUAAUGUGGGCUUGUGUCUCUAUUUAUGAACCUCAGCCACCUUCUGGGAGAAAAUGUUUUUUGUCAGAUCCCCUUGAAUCAUUCCACUAAUGCCCCAGUUUUUAUUUAUUCCGUUGCCCAGAGAAAUUAGUCUUUUAUGUAAUUGUAUAUUUUCCCUCGGGCCUGUUUUCUGCUCAAAAUUGAAUGUCCUCCAGCAUUCAACAUAAAAGGUUUAUAAUUAAAAGUUUUUUUAGCUUUGGGAUGUCCACUAAACAUUUAAUAACUAAUGAGGUACUCUGUAGUUAUGUUUUUUGUAAUCUUAAUUGUAUUGCAAACUGUCAUGAACAGAUAUGUGCAUUAUAACUGCAAGAAUACAAGUAAAUAGGUGCAAGUCUCAAAUCUGUCCCAUCAAUACAGAAUGAUCAUGGCUGAGCUGUCCCAGGUCUCAUCAUAUAAUAUUGUAAAGGGACUUUUGGUCUACUGCAUUGAUCAUCAAGUAUCCACUCUUAUUGAUCUUACAUUAAUCCUAUUAUUUGUCUCACAGACAGCAGUGGAAGUUGGGAUUGAACCUGGUUGCUCGACCUUUGUGACCUAUAAUUCCAUGAAUUUGCAAAUAGUCAUAGAGCUGUACAGCAAUAGACAAUAGGUGCAGGAGUAGGCCAUUCGACCCUUCGAGCCAGCACCGCCAUUCA